AUUGAACGCUGGCGGCAUGCCUUACACAUGCAAGUCGAACGGCAGCACGGGUGCUUGCACCUGGUGGCGAGUGGCGAACGGGUGAGUAAUACAUCGGAACGUACCUUAUCGUGGGGGAUAACGCAGCGAAAGCUGUGCUAAUACCGCAUACGCCCUGAGGGGGAAAGCGGGGGAUCGAAAGACCUCGCGCGAUUAGAGCGGCCGAUGCCUGAUUAGCUCGUUGGUGGGGUAAAAGCCCACCAAGGCGACGAUCAGUAGCUGGUCUGAGAGGACGAUCAGCCACACUGGGAAUGAGACACGGCCCAGACGCCUACGGGAGGCAGCAGUGGGGAAUUUUGGACAAUGGGGGCAACCCUGAUCCAGCAAUGCCGCGUGAGUGAAGAAGGCCUUCGGGUUGUAAGGCUCUUUUGUCAGGGAAGAAACACCGGCUCUAACACAGUCCGGGAAUGACGGUACCUGAAGAAUAAGCACCGGCUAACUACGUGCCAGCCGCCGCCGUAA
rnacentral:rRNA from 1 species